UACGAAGGGGGCUAGCGUUGUUCGGAUUUACUGGGCGUAAAGGGCGCGUAGGCGGCGUGACAAGUCACUUGUGAAAUCCCCGGGCUCAACCCGGGAACUGCGUCCGAUACUGGCAGGCUUGAAUUCGGGAGAGGGAUGUGGAAUUCCAGGUGUAGCGGUGAAAUGCGUAGAUAUCUGGAGGAACACCGGUGGCGAAGGCGGCAUCCUGGACCGGCAUUGACGCUGAGGCGCGAAAGCCAGGGGAGCAAACGGG
rnacentral:rRNA from 1 species